rnacentral:rRNA from 1 species
UACGUAGGGGGCGAGCGUUGUCCGGAUUUACUGGGCGUAAAGAGCGUGUAGGCGGCCAAGCAGGUCCGUUGUGAAAACUGGAGGCUUAACCUCCAGACGUCGACGGAAACCGCGUGGCUAGAGUCCGGAAGAGGAGAGUGGAAUUCCUGGUGUAGCGGUGGAAUGCGCAGAUAUCAGGAGGAACACCAAUAGCGAAGGCAGCUCGCUGGGACGGUACUGACACUAAGGCGCGAAAGCGUGGGGAGCGAACAGG